GCCUGGGUGGCUCAGUUGGUUGGGUGUCCGACUUUGGCUCGGGUCAUGAUCUCACGGUUUGUGAGUUCAAACCCCAUGUCAGGCU
rnacentral:tRNA from 1 species